CUUGAAAGCAAGUCAAUGCAAUCAUGUAGAAUGUUCCCAGAAUGCUCACUGGACAGUAUGUCAGAGGACUGCAUAAAAAGUGGGAAGAUGCUAAUGAAUAGUGAAAAUUGUUUACAUAUCAGGGAAACUUCCAAUGAAAUACCUGACAAAUCUUCAGGAGAAAUGGAAGAGGAGCACUACUAUAGAAAGCAUCGUUCUAUCACUCUUGGGUCAUUAAAAGAAUUCAACUUUGAUAAUUUGAAAGAAGUGCCUGAUAAACCCACAAUGAGCUCUGAGUGGUGGGCUAAUGAAACAAUUGCUGGGAAGGAAGCUAGGCCUGCCAACAACUGGACUUUCUUCCCAUUGUUACAGUCAGAAGUCAGCUGACAUUGAAACUUUGCAUAAUGGCUUCCCCUCUAUACUUGUAUGAUCAACAGGUUUGCUUUACUGAAUGCCUAACUUGUCAGAUGUAAGUCUGAAGCGCAACGGUGUUUUGGAUACAGUUCACCAGCCCUGGGGUCACAUGAGGAUAUAAAAAGGAAUUAAGCCAUGGUGAUCCAAACAACAAGUGCUCAGAAAAUAGUUUGUAGGGAUCAUUAGUGUGAGAACUAAUAGAGCAUUCUUUUUAAUUAUUUUGUUUCUAGUUUGAUGUUAUACAAAAAUAGCAUUUGCAUAUAGUUUUUUUCCAUUAUUACACAAGAAAAGGAAAAACAAUCCAGAACACAUCACUAUAUGCAAAUGCUAUUUUUGUAUAACAUCAAACUAGAAACAAAAUAAUUAAAAAGAAUGCUCUAUUAGUUCUCA
rnacentral:misc_RNA from 1 species